rnacentral:rRNA from 1 species
CCCCUUCGUCUAGAGUGACUGCGUACCUUUUGUAUAAUGGGUCAGCGACUUAUAUUCUGUAGCAAGGUUAACCGAAUAGGGGAGCCGGAGGGAAACCGAGUCUUAACCGGGCGUUAAGUUGCAGGGUAUAGACCCGAAACCCGGUGAUCUAGCCAUGGGCAGGUUGAAGGUUGGGUAACACUAACUGGAGGACCGAACCGACUAAUGUUGAAAAA